rnacentral:tRNA from 1 species
GGCGAGGUCGCACAGUGGACUAGUGCAGCCGCCUUGAAAGCGGCCGAGCGAGAGCUCCGUGGGUUCGAAUCCCACCCUCGCCG